rnacentral:misc_RNA from 1 species
GAUGAAGAACGCAGCGAAAUGCGAUACGUAAUGUGAAUUGCAGAUUUCAGUGAAUCAUCGAAUCUUUGAACGCACAUUGCGCCCGCCAGUAUUCUGGCGGGCAUGCCUGUUCGAGCGUCAUUUCAACCAUCAAGCCUUCGCUUGUGUUGGGGCCCCGCGGCUGCCGUGGUCCCCUAAAUCCAGUGGCGGGCUCGUCGUCGUACCGAGCGCAGUAGACAUCCUCGCUCCGGGAACCCGACGGGUGCCGGCCGUGAAACCCCCCACAUCAAGGUUGACCUCGGAUCAGGUAGGAAUACCCGCUGAACUUAAGCAUAUCAAUAAGCGGAGGA